ACCUGGAUAGCUCAGUUGGUUAGAGCGUGGUGCUGAUAACACAAAGGUUGCAGAUUCAAUCCUUGAAUUGGACA